rnacentral:rRNA from 1 species
UACGUAGGUGGCAAGCGUUGUCCGGAAUUAUUGGGCGUAAAGCGCGCGCAGGCGGUCUCUUAAGUCUGAUGUGAAAGCCCCCGGCUUAACCGGGGAGGGUCAUUGGAAACUGGGAGACUUGAGUGCAGGAGAGGGAAGCGGAAUUCCAUGUGUAGCGGUGAAAUGCGUAGAGAUAUGGAGGAACACCAGUGGCGAAGGCGGCUUCCUGGCCUGUAACUGACGCUGAGGCGCGAAAGCGUGGGGAGCAAACAGGAUUAGAAACCCCCGUAGUCC